AAUACGGGGGGAGCAAGCGUUGUUCGGAUUUACUGGGCGUAAAGGGCGCGUAGGCGGCGCAACAAGUCACUUGUGAAAUCUCCGGGCUUAACCCGGAGCGGCCAAGUGAUACUGUCGUGCUAGAGUGCGGAAGGGGCUACUGGAAUUCUCGGUGUAGCGGUGAAAUGCGUAGAUAUCGAGAGGAACACCUGCGGCGAAGGCGGGUAGCUGGGCCGACACUGACGCUGAGGCGCGAAAGCCAGGGGAGCGAACG
rnacentral:rRNA from 1 species